CCUUGCUCAUACAAAACUGACCAGGCUCACGGGAAGUGCAGAGCCCCGUCCAACACAGACUCAGCGUCAACUGGAAUUGAGAGGUCUUAAAAUAAGACGCUGCCACACCAUCACGAUGCAGACCCCAGGGGACCCAGAGGAAAGCACUUCAACUACAGGAAUGUGACUCCAAGUAGCAGAGCAACACUGAGAUUAAGUCAUCUUUACAAAGAAAUCAGAUCUCUGGAGAUGUGAUUACUGAUUAUUAUGGAUCUGUGGUUCCAUAGAAUGAAGUUGUACAGACUAAAUUACAGUAAGGGAUUCUUCUCCUUCUGUGUGACAGCUGGUCGGGUGUUGGAGACUGGUGCAGAAAUGUGUUAUCACUUCCAGGCUCUGUGCAGACUUGAUGCUCCACUAAUGAGUUCGUUCAGUGACUCACCGGUCUGUGUGGUUCCAACAAGAAGUGGACACUGAUGACAAGAAACGCCUUCACCCUC